rnacentral:rRNA from 1 species
UACAGAGGUCUCAAGCGUUGUUCGGAUUCAUUGGGCGUAAAGGGUGCGUAGGCGGCGCGGUAAGUCGGGUGUGAAAUCUCGGAGCUUAACUCCGAAACUGCAUUCGAUACUGCCGUGCUUGAGGACUGGAGAGGAGACUGGAAUUUACGGUGUAGCGGUGAAAUGCGUAGAUAUCGUAAGGAACACCCGUGGCGAAGGCGGGUCUCUGGUACGGG